CAGUCGCCGCGGUAAUACGAAGGGGGCUAGCGUUGCUCGGAAUUACUGGGCGUAAAGCGCACGUAGGCGGACCGAUAAGUCGGGGUGAAAUCCUGGAGCUCAACUCCAGAACUGCCUUCGAAACUGCCGGUCUUGAGUUCGGGAGAGGUGAGUGGAACUGCGAGUGUAGAGGUGAAAUUCGUAGAUAUUCGCAAGAACACCAGUGGCGAAGGCGGCUCACUGGCCCGAUACUGACGCUGAGGUGCGAAAGCGUGGGGAGCAAACAGGAUUAGAUACCCCUGUAGUCCCUGUCUCUUAUACC
rnacentral:rRNA from 1 species